GACGAACGCUGGCGGCGUGCUUAACACAUGCAAGUCGAACGGAAAGGCCCUGCUUUUGUGGGGUGCUCGAGUGGCGAACGGGUGAGUAACACGUGAGUAACCUGCUCCCGACUUUGGGAUAACUUCAGGAAAAUGGGGCAACUACUGGAUAGGAGCUUCUGCUGCAUGGUGGGGGUUGGCUAGUUUCGGCGGUUGGGGAUGGACGCGCGGCUGAUCAGCUGGUUGGUGGGGUAGUGGCUCACCAAGGCUUUGACGGGUAGCCGGCCUGAGAGGGUGACCGGCCACAUUGGGACUGAGGGACGGCCCAGACUGCAACGUGGGGCAGCAGGGGGAAAUAUUGCGCAAUGGGCGGAAGCCUGAGGCAGCAGCGCCGCGGGCGGGAUGACGGCCUUGGGGUGGUAAACCGCUUUCGCCUGUGACGAAGCGUGAGUGACGGUAAUGGGUAAAGAAGCACCGGCUAACUACGUG
rnacentral:rRNA from 1 species